rnacentral:tRNA from 1 species
GCCUGAGUGGCUCAGUUGGUUAAGCAUCUGACUUCAGCUCAGGGCAUGAUGUCAUGGUUCAUGAGUUUGAGCCCCAUAUUGGGCU